CGAUCUCAGAUCAGACGAGAUGACCCGCUGAA
rnacentral:rRNA from 29 species